CUUCAAUAAAUGUGUAGGUGUUGCCUGGGAGGCAAGCCUAAUGGACUAGGGAAUUUAAGAAUGCUGGCAGUUCCUUAAAGGAGAAUAUUAAUAAGGCUCUCUCAUUGUAGAGUAGAGAUAAGAAGUCAGUAAGAUAUGAGUUUGGCUAAAUUACGAGCUUUUUAUUGACUUCAAGCACAGGAAGAGAGAAAGUAUAGAGAAAGUAGAAACUAGGUCGGACUGCUAAGAAGGAGAAUAAAGACGUUGCAAGAGCUCUCAGACCAAAUCAAAAAGGCCAGCAUAAAAUGAAAGAAGAAAUGCAGAGUUCUGAAGAACCACAGCUGAUCCCGUGACUUUUUUCACUCUCUGCUAUAUUUGAGCAAAUCAAAUCCUAGUAAAGAAGCGGUCAAAUUCAUUUGCAAGUGAGGUGCAUAUCCAAGCAUGUACUGAAGAAGUCCACAGAAGAGUAUGAGCAGGAAGGACAAGAAAAUAGCCUCCAUAUGGCCCACCAGACAAGAAGUCCACUGAGCUGAUUUCAUAGGAUUAUAGAAUGGCUUGGCUUGGAAGGGACCUCAGGGAUCAUCAUGUUCCAACGCCACUGCCACAG
rnacentral:lncRNA from 1 species